rnacentral:rRNA from 1 species
UACGUAGGUGGCAAGCGUUAUCCGGAAUUAUUGGGCGUAAAGAGCGCGCAGGUGGUUAAUUAAGUCUGAUGUGAAAGCCCACGGCUUAACCGUGGAGGGUCAUUGGAAACUGGUUGACUUGAGUGCAGAAGAGGGAAGUGGAAUUCCAUGUGUAGCGGUGAAAUGCGUAGAGAUAUGGAGGAACACCAGUGGCGAAGGCAGCUUACUAAGCCAUAACUGACACUGAAGCACGAAAGCGUGGGGAUCAAACAGG